rnacentral:lncRNA from 1 species
UUUGCCUUGGCUGCUGAAAGGGCAUGGCGCAAAAUGUACGAGGGUUGGUUGGUAUUCCUCGUAGGGCAAAAUCCAAACUGCGUGUCAGGGAUUUUACCCUCUGCAAGGGCCCAUGCUGUCAGGAUAUUGCGUACUACAUUGGCAUAGAGCCUGUAUAAGCAUCCAUUAAUUGCCAACAUUCUAUAACUCUUUGGGUCAGUUAGAGCAUUUCUUUUGUGCA